rnacentral:rRNA from 1 species
CCAGACUCCUACGGGAGGCAGCAGUGGGGAAUAUUGCGCAAUGGGCGAAAGCCUGACGCAGCGACGCCGCGUGAGGGAUGAAGGUCUUCGGAUCGUAAACCUCUAUCAGCAGGGAAGAAAAUGACGGUACCUGAGUAAGAAGCCCCGGCUAACUACGUGCCAGCAGCCGCGGUAAUACGUAGGGGGCAAGCGUUAUCCGGAUUUACUGGGUGUAAAGGGAGCGUAGACGGCCAGACAAGUCUGAAGUGAAAAUCCAGCGCUUAACGUUGGAAGUGCUUUGGAAACUGCCGGGCUAGAGUGCAGGAGGGGCAGGCGGAAUUCCUAGUGUAGCGGUGAAAUGCGUAGAUAUUAGGAGGAACACCAGUGGCGAAGGCGGCCUGCUGGACUGCAACUGACGUUGAGGCUCGAAGGCGUGGGGAGCAAACAGGAUUAGAUACCCGGGUACA